rnacentral:rRNA from 1 species
GCAGUGGGGAAUAUUGCACAAUGGGCGCAAGCCUGAUGCAGCCAUGCCGCGUGUGUGAAGAAGGCCUUCGGGUUGUAAAGCACUUUCAGCGGGGAGGAAGGCGAUAAGGUUAAUAACCUUGUCGAUUGACGUUACCCGCAGAAGAAGCACCGGCUAACUCCGUGCCAGCAGCCGCGGUAAUACGGAGGGUGCAAGCGUUAAUCGGAAUUACUGGGCGUAAAGCG